GAACGCAUCCUUCGGGGUGAGUGGCAGACGGGUGAGUAACGCGUGGGAAUCUACCCAUCCCUACGGGAUAGCUCCGGGAAACUGGAGAUAAUACCGUAUACGUCCUCCGGGAGAAAGAUUUAUCGGGGAUGGAUGAGCCCGCGUUGGAUUAGCUAGUUGGUGGGGUAAUGGCCUACCAAGGCGACGAUCCAUAGCUGGUCUAAGAGGAUGAUCAGCCACAUUGGGACUGAGACACGGCCCAAACUCCUACGGGAGGCAGCAGUGGGGAAUAUUGGACAAUGGGCGCAAGCCUGAUCCAGCCAUGCCGCGUGAGUGAUGAAGGCCCUAGGGUUGUAAAGCUCUUUCAGUGGGGACGAUAAUGACGGUACCCACAGAAGAAGCCCCGGCUAACUUCGUGCCAGCAGCCGCGGUAAUACGAAGGGGGCUAGCGUUGUUCGGAAUUACUGGGCGUAAAGCGCACGUAGGCGGAC
rnacentral:rRNA from 1 species